rnacentral:rRNA from 1 species
GACGAACGCUGGCGGCGUGCCUAAUACAUGCAAGUAGAACGCACAGUUUAUACCGUAGCUUGCUACACCAUAGACUGUGAGGUGCGAACGGGUGAGUAACGCGUAGGUAACCUGCCUGGUAGCGUGGGAUAACUAUUGGAAACGAUAGCUAAUACCGCAUAAUAUUAAUUAUUGCAUGAUAAUUAAUUGAAAGUUGCAAUUGCACCACUACCAGAUGGACCUGCGUUGUAGUAGCUAGUAGGUGAGGUAACGGCUAACCUGGGCGGGGAUAAAUAGCCGAACGGAGAGGGUGAUAGGCCACAUGGGGACUGAACCACGGACAAGGGGCCUGCGGGAGGCAGCAGAAGGAAUCUUGGGCAAUGGACGAAAGUCUGACCGAGAAACGCCGAGUGAGUGAAGAAGGAUUUCGGAUCGGAAAGCUCUGUUGUAAGAGAAGAACGGGUGUGAGAGUGGAAAGUUCACACUGUGACGGUAUCUUACAAGAAAGGGACGGCUAACUACGUG